GACGAACGCUGGCGGCGUGCUUAACACAUGCAAGUCGAACGGUGAAGGGGUCUGCUUUUGUGGGCCCUGGAUGAGUGGCGAACGGGUGAGUAACACGUGAGUAACCUGCCCCCUUCUUCUGGAUAACCGCAUGAAAGUGUGGCUAAUACGGGAUAUUCUGGGUCUGUCGCAUGAUGGGUCUGGGAAAGAUUGCGCCUUUGGGUGUUUUUGGUGGGGGAUGGGCUCGCGGCCUAUCAGCUUGUUGGUGGGGUGAUGGCCUACCAAGGCGGUGACGGGUAGCCGGCCUGAGAGGGUGGACGGUCACACUGGGACUGAGACACGGCCCAGACUCCUACGGGAGGCAGCAGUGGGGAAUAUUGCACAAUGGGCGCAAGCCUGAUGCAGCGACGCCGCGUGAGGGAUGGAGACCUUCGGGUUGUAAACCUCUUUCGCCAGUGAAGCAGGCCUGCUCCGUGUGGGUGGGUUGACGGUAGCUGGAUAAGAAGCGCCGGCUAACUACGUG
rnacentral:rRNA from 1 species